GUUGAACGCUGGCGGCAUGCCUUACACAUGCAAGUCGAACGGCAGCACGGGUUCUUUCCCCUGGUGCCGAAUGGCGAACGGGUCGUUAAUGCCUCGGACCAUAUCCUUUGGUAGCGUGUCGCCCGCCGGAAGCCGGCUUCAUACCGCCUCCGAUCUUCCGACGAAAGCCCACGACCUCCGCUCCUCCCGCUGUACGGUUGGCCGAUGUCUGAUUAGCUCGUUGGUGGGGUAAAGGCCUACCAAGGCGACGAUCAGUAGCCGGACUGAGAGGACGACCAGCCAGACUGGGACGGAGACACGGCCCAGACCCCUGGGGGAGGGAGCAGGGGGGAAUGUUGGACAAAGGGCGAAGGCCUGAUCCAGCAACGCCGCGUGUGUGAAGAAGGCCUUCGGGUUGUAAAGCAGUUUUGGCAGGAAAGAAAGCCGUGGGCCUAAAACGGGCAGGGGAAGGAGGGACCGGAAGAAAAAGCACCGGCUAACUACGUG
rnacentral:rRNA from 1 species